CAGCAGCCGCGGUAAUACGAAGGGUGCAAGCGUUAAUCGGAAUUACUGGGCGUAAAGCGUGCGUAGGCGGUGAGUUAAGUCUGCUGUGAAAUCCCCGGGCUCAACCUGGGAAUGGCAGUGGAUACUGGCUCGCUAGAGUGUGUCAGAGGAUGGCGGAAUUCCCGGUGUAGCGGUGAAAUGCGUAGAGAUCGGGAGGAACAUCAGUGGCGAAGGCGGCCAUUUGGGACAACACUGACGCUGAGGCACGAAAGCGUGGGGAGCAAACAGGAUUAGAUACCCCGGUAGUCCCUGUCUCUUAUAA
rnacentral:rRNA from 1 species